GUGCACUUCAGCAGCACGUAUACUGAAACUGGAAUGGUAGAGAGGUUAGCAUGGCUCCUGUGCAUGGAUGAUGCACAAGUUUGCAAAGCAUUCCAUAUUGCU